UAUACAUCUAGCAUUGGGUCGGGUCAGACGGCCCAAUGGCGGAAAGAAAAUGGUGCUUAGAUACAUAUUGAGCUCGUACACACAUUUGGCCCAAACAACAAAUAAAUCAUCAUAGCCCAUACAAUGUAUACCAGAGAAUACAAUAAAUAUACAGUGUAUAUACAGUGUGUACAAUCAUGUAAGCUCUUUCAUCUCAAUGAACAGCAGCCUGACUAUCACAAUAUACAGAAAUAGGAGAAGAAACUGAUACCCCAAGAUCAACCAACAAACAAGAAAGCCAAGUUAACUCAGCAACAACUUUGCUGAGGGCUCUAUAUUAUGCCUCAGUAGAAGACAGAGAAACAACAGGUUGCUUCUUCGAUUUCCAACUGAUCAAGCAACCACCCAAAAGCAUACAAAAUCCAGUAACAGAUCUUCUAGUAUUAGGGCAUGCAGCCCAGUCAUUAUCAGAAUAGCCAGUAACAGAGAAAUCAGCAUGGGCAGAAUAAAAUAAACCCAAGGAAGGAGUGCCCUUAAGGUAUCUCAGAACAUGCAGGUACAAACUCCAGUAACAGAUCGUCUAGUAUCAAGGCAUACAGCCCAGUCAAUUUCAGAAUACCCAGUAAUAGAGAAAUCAUCAUGAGCAGAAUAAAUUAAACCCAAGGAAGGAGUGCCCUUAAGGUAUCUCAGAACAUGCAGGGCAGCAGUCAUAUGUGGAAGUCUGGGGCAUUUGAGGAAUUGACUUAGAUGUUGGAGUGCAAAGCAUAUGUCAGGCCUAGUAUGAGUCAGAAACAACAUCUUACCAACUAGACUCCUGUACUGGUCAGGAGAGGAUAAAAGGUCACCAGAAUCAGCAUGAAGUUUGACAUUAAUGUCUAAAGGAGAAACAUCAGAGGAGACAUUUGAACAAUCAAACUGAUGCAGUAAAUCAGAAAUAUACUUAUGCUGAUUUAGGAUCAUUCCACCAGGGGCAACUGACAUUACAAGACCCAAAAAAUAAUGCAAGGAUCCUAAAUCUUUGAUCUUAAACUGAUCAUCAAGAAACAAUUUCAGUGUAGUAAUUUCAUCACUGUCAUCCCCAGUAAGGAUAAUAUCAUCCACAUAGACUGCNNNN
rnacentral:lncRNA from 1 species